rnacentral:lncRNA from 1 species
GGGAGCCUGGAGGGAGGUGGGGAGUUAACGACUGCCUGCCUCCUCCCUGACCCCGCCUGCCUCUCAGCUCUAACAUGCCUGUGAUUUCAUCAUGCACACCUUUGUCAACAAUCCAUUUAGCAACCAAAUUAUACACCGGGUAAUUAUAGCUUCCAGCCUCAUGUCAGGAGUCCCCUGCUCAACAGCGUGCUCCUGGUGAUACUGCCACCCGUAACGGGUACUGGCUUUGCUAACAUCCUGACGAGACGUCGGGGAGAGACGGGAAGUGGCAGUUUCUUCCUUAGUACUCCAAGUGGACUAACAAAGACUUCCCCAAAAUGUAAGUAAUUUUUAUAAAUAUGAUUAACUCAAACUUAUAAAUAUAAUGACUCAUAAAUUAUCUUAGACAUUCCAAUGUUGUUUACUGCUUUCUUUUAUAAUUUUCACCUUAAAAAUCUUAAGUCAAAAUCAAUCUCUCGAUUAUAUAUCAAAUCGAAAUUGCAAGGCUAAUCUGUCAGCUGCUCCAACAUACCAAUUUCUCUCUCUCUCUUUUUUUUUUGAGACAGAGUCUCGUUGCUCUGUUGCCCAGGCUGGAGUGCAGUGGUGCAAUCUCAGCUCACUACAACCUCCACCUCCAGGGUUCCAAUGAUUCCCCUGCCUCAGCCUCCCAAGUAGCUGGGAUUACAGGUGUGCACCACCAUGUCCAACUAAUUUUUUUUGUAUUUUUAGUACAGAUGGGGUUUCUUCAUGUUGGCCAGGCUGGUCUUGAACUCCUGACCUUAAACGAUCCCUACCUUGACCUCCUAAAGUGCUGGGAUUACAGAUGUGAGCCACCAUACCUGGCCCCAAUAUACCAAUUGCUCUUAAACAUGAUGAGUAGUAUAAAUGACAUUAUUCCUGCACUCAUAUAUAAAGAGAUGGGUUUGAUUUCCUUCACCAUCUCAAUCCCUAAUUUUAGCUUUUUGGAUUUGUGAAUCACUUACCUUCUAAGGAGAUAGCUGUCUGCAGCAAGCUGGGGUUUCCAUCUUGGGAGAGUGAAGUUAGGCAUUCUUUAGAGAUUUUUGGCCAGAAAAUAGGAUUUGAUUCAUGCCCAAGAUGGUGUGACACCAUGAACCAUAAUUGGAACUCUGAGUUCUGCAACAGAUUCACCUAAUUCUUCCUUCUGAUUGCAACUUUUACCUCCUCCCUCUCUGGGUGUGGACAAAUCCAUUCAUUGAUUGGCUGAUUUUACAUUGCUUUGAAAGAUGUUUGCAUUUCUUUGGCUCUUUUAAGACAUUUUAAUGUAUUCCUGUCUGACUUUAAAGAACCUUUAAGACUAUUAGCCUUUCGGUCAUGCCUUUAUGAUUCUUUUGUAACUUCAUAACUUUAUUGCCUGAUUUGGCAAAAGAAUGCUGGGUUCUUUUCAUAUUUUCCCAUCUUGCAGGUGUGUGACUUCUACAACUACUUAAAAAGCAUCCAGCCAGGCACAGUGGCUCAUGUCUGUAAUCCCAGCACUUCAGGAGGCCAAGGUGGGCGGAUCACGAGGUCAGGAGUUCGAGACCAGUCUGGCCAACAUGGUGAAACCCUGUCUCUACUAAUAAUACAAAAAUUAGCCAGGCGUGGUGGCGUGCGCCUGUAGUCCCACCUACUUGGGAGGAUGAGGCAGGAGAAUUGCUUAAACCGGGGAGGUGGAGGUUGCAGUGAACCGAGAUUGCACCACUGCACUCCAGCCUGGGUGAUGAAGCAAGACUCCGUCUCAAGGAAAAAAAAAAAGCAUCUAGUUGGAUGCUUAGUAUCUCUUAUGUUUUUGACUUUAUGAUCAUGUUGGAAAAGAAAAUAUUUCUUUUCCUCACCCAUCCUUAGGCUUAUGUCUGAGAUGCCUAUAACAAGAGAAAAGCAUACAAAUUUAUUGAAUAUAAAUUUUGCAUAACACGGGAGACUUUUCGAAAUGAACACUCAAAGAAAUAGGUAAACCUGUGUAUUUUUUUAUGAUAGGUUUGACGAAGAAGUGGACAGUUGUGGAGAAGUGUGACUGGAUUAAAAAUGAUGAUUUAAUGGUAAUGAAUGGGGAGGAGUGUAGCAAAACCUGUCUGUUAGAUUCUUCUCUGUGACCAUGUGUCUUCAGAGAUAAGGGUGUUCCUUUCCUCUGGGUAGAGAAAGGACACCUCUCAAAUGAGGGUCUUAAGAUCCGCUUCAGGGGAAAAUGAUGGGAGAAAGUCAGAGAAUGACCUUCCUAGGUUUUAUGACCUGCUUCGGGAAAGAAAAAAUGGAGAGAAGAGGGUGGCCUUCUUGCCUCUGCUCUUUUCUCAAAUGCCAAGUAGUGUUAAAAGCAUUUAGGGAGGGUCUCCAAGGAUUAUAGAAAUUUAAUCAACUUGAGCAAUCAGCCUGUUUUAGAGCCUCCUGCCCUGAAGCCUAUUCUUCCCCAAACCCUCUGUGGAAUGAGGUCGUCUUGGUGGUUUCAACCAGCUCCUGACAGAUCCCAGCAACUUACAGAUGAAAGCAAGUGACCUUUCCUCAUUACUGUGAUGAAGUCUCCACCCCUGAGGAGCUAGAGUUUCAUCACCAUGAUGUGCGACCUAUGCACCGGCAUGAUGACUCACUACACGCACCACUGAGACCCCUCUUCUACAUGUGAUGAUGCACCCUCUCCCCUCUCCAUCACUCCAUAAAACCCUCCCAUCACUUUCCCUAGGGGAGAGACUGCUUUGAAGAAUGCUCCCAGUGUCCUCCUUACUUGAGCCAAGUAAUAAACCUCCUAUUAAUAAAAACCUGUGCUCUCAUGGAGAGUAGUUUACUACUUGCUAGGUGAC